GCCAGUUCAGAUUUUGAAGAGCACAAAUAUUGAUGGAUGGUCAGCGGUCAGUGAUGAAGAAGUUGAAUCUCUUCUUCCUGCUGCUGCUUAUGCUCUUGCAAAGAUCCAUAUGCAUCUAGUACACAGCGGGUUCUGUUACACUGCAAGGGGAGGGUUUUGCUACACGGAAGAU